rnacentral:rRNA from 1 species
CCUACGGGUGGCAGCAGUGGGGAAUAUUGGACAAUGGGCGAAAGCCUGAUCCAGCCAUGCCGCGUGUGUGAAGAAGGCCUUCGGGUUGUAAAGCACUUUCAGUGGGGAAGAAAGCCUUGGGGCUAAUACCCUCGAGGAAGGACAUCACCCACAGAAGAAGCACCGGCUAACUCCGUGCCAGCAGCCGCGGUAAUACGGGGGGUGCGAGCGUUAAUCGGAAUUACUGGGCGUAAAGCGCGCGUAGGCGGUCUGAUAAGCCGGUUGUGAAAGCCCCGGGCUCAACCUGGGAACGGCAUCCGGAACUGUCAGGCUAGAGUGCAGGAGAGGAAGGUAGAAUUCCCGGUGUAGCGGUGAAAUGCGUAGAGAUCGGGAGGAAUACCAGUGGCGAAGGCGGCCUUCUGGACUGACACUGACGCUGAGGUGCGAAAGCGUGGGUAGCAAACAGGAUUAGAUACCCCGGUAGUC